GAUGAAGAACGUAGCGAAAUGCGAUAAGUAAUGUGAAUUGCAGAAUUCAGUGAAUCAUCGAAUCUUUGAACGCACAUUGCGCCCCCUGGUAUUCCGGGGGGCAUGCCUGUUCGAGCGUCAUUUCACCACUCAAGCCUCGCUUGGUAUUGGGCAACGCGGUCCGCCGCGUGCCUCAAAUCGACCGGCUGGGUCUUCUGUCCCCUAAGCGUUGUGGAAACUAUUCGCUAAAGGGUGUUCGGGAGGCUACGACGUAAAACAACCCCAUUUCUAAGGUUGACCUCGGAUCAGGUAGGGAUACCCGCUGAACUUAAGCAUAUCAAUAAGCGGAGGA
rnacentral:misc_RNA from 1 species